AUCGCAUUCAGCUGCUGACGCUGGCUGUCUGACACCAACCGAGCAAUCUUCACAGUUUCAAAACGCCAACGUUGUGUUGUUGUUGGAAAUUAACACAAUUUGGCCCGAG